AGCGGGAGCAGGGCCCGAACCGGGCACGGGGGGGUUAAUGAAGGUCUCCCCGGCACAGACUCUUCUGCUCCGCCCGGCCCCGCAGCGGGUGAGCGCUGCCUCUGCGCAUGCGGGACUCUCCUCCUCCCGCAUGCCCAGAAACGGGAGACACAAAACUCUUCUCCGGCUCCCAGAGAGGCUCCAACCGCCCAGCGCGAGACACGCUCGUCUUCACCGCCAGAACGUACGUCACUUCCGUUCCCGAAAGAGUCAGGAAUUACUUCUCCCAGCCUGCACCGGGGGCGCUUCCGCCCUCUCCUAGACCAGGCUGCAGAAUGACGUCCCUGUUUUGCUCCAGUUCAUCCCGUCCUCCCAUGGGACAGAGGAGAGAAAUGGCUGCAGAGGAGCCAGUUCAGGGUUUCCAGUUUCCAAACCUGAUGUGAUCUCCCAGCUGGAACAAGGGGAAGAGCCAUGGGUCCCAGACCUCCAGGGUUCAGAGGAAAGAGAGAUCUUGAAAGCUCCCUGCACAGUUGAGGAAACAUUAAACCAACUCAGAAUCUGAAGCAUGGCAGUGAAAUCUCUACUGAAAGCUUGUAAAUUAUUGUUACUCCUAAUCACUGCAAGAGGUGUGUACGAGUCCUAUUGAAGGAGUAAUAACCUGUCUAUGCCACUGGGACUCCUCCAAUAGGACCUCAGGAUUGGAGCUUCAGACUGGGGCUGAACUUCAUGAGUGUUAGGUAAGCAAUUUUCAGCAGGUUUCCAGGUGGAGGGUUGGAGUGUGGCUGCUCCCACGAACCCUGCAGACCCGGGUUGAAGACUCCUGGGUCAUGACAGUGAGUGAUCUCUCCCUGCUCAAACCUCCCACAGCAGGAAACAGUCUCCAGGAUACUGGACACAUCUUCUGAGAAUAAAAUGAGGAUAUCAUGAUGAGAAAUAGGUCUCUGUAUUAGGGUUGGGAUCUGGGGACACAGAAAGCUCCCAACCAGGAUAUGUAGCAGGAGCCCCCUGUUUAUUGCAAGAGCCCCAAGUGGCAGGAUGAGUGAAUGGUUCUUACCUCCAGGAGGUGCAUGGGAUCUUCUAGCUGAGCUUCAAUGGGACCUAUGUUGCUUGGUUUGACAGGAUGAGAUGACCUGUCCCCACUGCUCCCUGAGCUGGGCUGGCUGCAGGAUCUAUCUGUGUGAGAGGCUGGGACAGAGCCUGAAAGAUAGAUGUGACAAUCAGGGUUCUGUCACCUCCAGGGGAGAACAGAGGGUCUGAACCCCAAAGAAUAAGCAAUUGAAUCAACUGAUUCAAUGAAGAAUUAUUGUGCCAUACAGGUACAUCAUUAGGUCCUUUCAUGGAUUGGUAACUGGUUAAACACUGCUCUGCAUUGACUGCCCUGACCACGGGUGGCCCAGUGGCCCACUGCACCCCCAACUUAGCAGCUCCAGCUACCAAGAGAGCAAGAACCAGAGGCCUUCCUGCUCCUGGGACAGAGGAGUAGGUUGAUGAUCUACCUGGAUGUGAGUGUUGGCCUUCCCCAUGCCCAUGGUCUAGACUUCAUUCAGGGCAGCACACAGGAAUUGCGAUUCCUAUUCUGGAUCUAGGGGCGGUUUCAGUUUGCUGGCAGGAGACUGUACAUGAGACCUUGCAGUUGUGGGGUGAUCCAGGCACUAACAUGGGCACGGAAGUUUGAGGAACAGGGCAGAGGCCUGUGUGGGGCAAGGAGGGCAGGGAUUUGGGAAGCAAGAGCAGAGGAUCAAACACUUUCUUCAUGUGGGACAGGAUGAUCCCCAUUUCAAAGAUAGAGAAAGUGAGGCACCAGAUGGGAGAGUGACCUGGCCAGGAUCACGUUCCCACUCAGUGGCAGGGCUGCAGUAUAACCUGUUCCCUGCUCUCAUCACUGGACCCUGCUGCCCCUUCUGUAGGACCCCUCCAGCCAUCCUCUCCCAUAGGCCAUCCCCACCCCUCUCCAAUACCAGGCUGUUUCCAUAAUGGAAGCAGGCUUGUAACAGAGUUCACUCACUGAUAGGUGCUCCUUCCUGGCGAGGCCUGGGGUCACACCUAACUGAGAGGCAAAAGGAGAGGCCAGCACCUCCCCCUCCCCUCUGGAGCAUUGCUUAUUAUAAACUUUCAAAAAUGAACACAGUGGAGUCACAUCUUACACGGGGGUUAGGUUCGGAGGUCAGUGUGUAAGAGGAAGAUCGCGUGUAACCCUUCUGCCCAUUUGAGUUGGCAGCAAUAAGGGCCGGGUUCAGUAUCUAGGGGUUCCGUUUCAAUAACUGAAUGCAAAACUGGCUUGAGCCCCCACCCAGUGACCUGGGACA